UGUUUGCUUUUCUUAAAUAUUCACUUGAGACACCUUGCUUUCUAUUCUCCCAUAAACCUUAGAACAUUAUUUGUAAUGGUGUUUGCAUCUGUUGGGUUGAGGGUUAGGCAGUUAUUGUGAUCCUUCUGGUCCUGAUAGAAUGAACAGGAACGAAGUGGUUAAAUUUGGGCCUUUCGCUACAAAUUGUGGCAGAUGCUGAUUGCGCAUUGCUGGGAUAUGCGUUUUCUUGUUUGGUGUUUUUGUAUAAGUUAAACAAUCAUCGGAUCCUCCCUCCUUGGCAUGCUUGUUGGUUAUUAUAUCCACUAGUUCUUUAUUUUUGUAUUAGUUUCG
rnacentral:misc_RNA from 1 species